rnacentral:rRNA from 1 species
UACAGAGGGUGCGAGCGUUAAUCGGAAUUACUGGGCGUAAAGGGCGCGUAGGCGGCUUACCAAGUCAGGCGUGAAAUUCCCGGGCUCAACCUGGGGGCUGCGCUUGAUACUGGUGAGCUUGAAUGCGGGAGAGGAUAGUGGAAUUCCCAGUGUAGAGGUGAAAUUCGUAGAUAUUGGGAAGAACACCGGUGGCGAAGGCGGCUAUCUGGCCCGUAAUUGACGCUGAGGCGCGAAAGCGUGGGGAGCAAACAGG